rnacentral:rRNA from 1 species
UACGUAGGUGGCGAGCGUUGUCCGGAUUUACUGGGCGUAAAGCGCGCGCAGGCGGACUGAUCAGUCUGGGGUGAAAUCUCACGGCUCAACUGUGAGCGGUCCCUGGAUACUGUCAGUCUUGAGAUGUCUAGAGGAGAGCGGAAUUCCCGGUGUAGUGGUGGAAUGCGUAGAUAUCGGGAAGAACACCAGUGGCGAAAGCGGCUCUCUGGGGACCAUCUGACGCUGAGGCGCGAAAGCGUGGGGAGCGAACCGGAUUAGAUACCCGGGUAGUCCACGCCGUAAACGAUGAGCACUAGCUGUCGGGGGUAUCGACCCCUCCGGUAGCGCAGCUAACGCGAUAAGUGCUCCGCCUGGGGACUACGGCCGCAAGGCUAAA